rnacentral:rRNA from 1 species
UACGUAGGCAGCAAGCGUUGUUCGGAGUUACUGGGCGUAAAGAGUGCGUAGGUGGUGCCCUAAGUCUGUUGUGAAAUCUCCCGGCUUAACUGGGAGGGUGCGGUGGAAACUGGGGUGCUUGAGUGUGGGAGAGGUAAGCGGAAUUCCUGGUGUAGCGGUGAAAUUCGUAGAUAUUCGCAAGAACACCAGUGGCGAAGGCGGCUCACUGGCCCGAUACUGGACGCUGAGGCACGAAAGCGUGGGGGAGCAAACAGG